AUUACUUCCUGAUUCCAUUCCUAACUUGUACACUCCUUAUCACUCUACCCAUCAACUACGCCCAGUAUACCAUCGGACAAUUCACCAACUGUCCGCCUAUCGUGCUCUACAGCCGGAUGGCUCCGAUUUUCACGGGAGUUGGAAUAAUGGUUACUAUCGUACAAUACAUUGUGUCAUCAUCUAUCCGAUUUGAUCAUCGAUUCAUUUCCAUGGCAUUUGAGUUUGCUUAUUCACUGUUGACAAAUCGAAAUGCGGUUUUCGCGGACUUUCUCCGAGUAGAGGCAUUUUAAG
rnacentral:sRNA from 1 species